rnacentral:rRNA from 1 species
AGGACGAACGCUGGCGGCGUGCUUAACACAUGCAAGUCGAGCGGAAAGGCCCUUCGGGGUACUCGAGCGGCGAACGGGUGAGUAACACGUGAGUAAUCUGCCCCUAGCUCUGGGAUAGCUCCGGGAAACCGGGAUUAAUACCGGAUAUGACCUAGGCCGACAUCGGCCGUGGUGGAAAGUUUUUCGGCUAGGGAUGGACUCGCGGCCUAUCAGCUAGUUGGUGGGGUAAUGGCCUACCAAGGCGACGACGGGUA